UACGUAGGGUGCGAGCGUUGUCCGGAAUUAUUGGGCGUAAAGGGCUCGUAGGCGGUUUGUCGCGUCGGGAGUGAAAACCUCGGGCUUAACUCGGGGCUUGCUUUCGAUACGGGCAGACUGGAGGUAUGCAGGGGAGAACGGAAUUCCGGUGUAGUGGUGGAAAUGCGCAGAUAUCAGGAGGAACACCGGUGGCGAAGGCGGGUCUCUGGGCAG
rnacentral:rRNA from 1 species